UAGGUAAAGGUUGAAGUCGAAGGAGAGGCGACAAUCUAUUGGAGGACAAUUAAAGAGGGACGUCGUCUUUUCGUCCAACGUAACGUAACGAAAGUGUAAUCGUAACAUCUCGAGUACGUAGAAAUUUUAUUAAAGCGUGUAAUAACGACUAUCUGUCCAGACGAGGCGAACAGGCGAUUGUAUGUAUCUUACAACACUGACCUAAUAAUCUACUAGAAAUGACACGUGGUAAAAAUGGUAAGAGUAUCUCUAGUU